AUUGAACGCUGGCGGCAGGCCUAACACAUGCAAGUCGAGCGGAUGAAGGGAGCUUGCUCCUGGAUUCAGCGGCGGACGGGUGAGUAAUGCCUAGGAAUCUGCCUGGUAGUGGGGGAUAACGUCCGGAAACGGGCGCUAAUACCGCAUACGUCCUGAGGGAGAAAGUGGGGGAUCUUCGGACCUCACGCUAUCAGAUGAGCCUAGGUCGGAUUAGCUAGUUGGUGGGGUAAAGGCCUACCAAGGCGACGAUCCGUAACUGGUCUGAGAGGAUGAUCAGUCGCACUGGAACUGAGACACGGUCCAGACUCCUACGGGAGGCAGCAGUGGGGAAUAUUGGACAAUGGGCGAAAGCCUGAUCCAGCCAUGCCGCGUGUGUGAAGAAGGUCUUCGGAUUGUAAAGCACUUUAAGUUGGGAGGAAGGGCAGUAAGUUAAUACCUUGCUGUUUUGACGGUACCAACAGAAUAAGCACCGGCUAACUUCGUG
rnacentral:rRNA from 1 species